GACGAACGCUGGCGGCGUACUUAACACAUGCAAGUCGAACGGAAAGGCCCCUUUGGGGGUACUCGAGUGGCGAACGGGUGAGUAACACGUGAGUAACCUGCCCUUGACUUCGGGAUAACUUCAGGAAACUGGGGCUAAUACCGGAUAGGAAUCCUUGCUGCAUGGUGGGGGUUGGAAAGCUUCGGCGGUUUUGGAUGGACUCGCGGCUUAUCAGCUUGUUGGUGGGGUAGUGGCUUACCAAGGCUUUGACGGGUAGCCGGCCUGAGAGGGCGACCGGCCACAUUGGGACUGAGAUACGGCCCAGACUCCUACGGGAGGCAGCAGUGGGGAAUAUUGCACAAUGGGCGGAAGCCUGAUGCAGCAACGCCGCGUGCGGGAUGACGGCCUUCGGGUUGUAAACCGCUUUCAGCAGGGGCGAAGCUUGUGGUGACGGUACCUGCAGAAGAAGCACCGGCUAACUACGUG
rnacentral:rRNA from 1 species